ACGAUGAAGAGUUUGAUCCUGGCUCAGGAUGAACGCUAGCGGCAGGCCUAACACAUGCAAGUCGAGGGGUAACAGGGUGCUUGCACCGCUGACGACCGGCGCACGGGUGCGUAACGCGUAUACAAUCUACCUUUUACAGAGAGAUACCCCAGAGA
rnacentral:ncRNA from 1 species